UUCCUGGUGGUCCAGUGGUUAGGACUCUGAGCUCCCAAUGCAGGGGGCCCAGACUCAACCCCUGGUCAGGGAA
rnacentral:tRNA from 1 species